rnacentral:rRNA from 1 species
GACGAACGCUGGCGGCGUGCCUAAUACAUGCAAGUAGAACGCUGAAGAGAGGAGCUUACUCUUCUUGGAUGAGUUGCGAACGGGUGAGUAACGCGUAGGUAACCUGCCUUGUAGCGGGGGAUAACUAUUGGAAACGAUAGCUAAUACCGCAUAACAAUGGAUGACACAUGUCAUUUAUUUGAAAGGGGCAAUUGCUCCACUACAAGAUGGACCUGCGUUGUAUUAGCUAGUAGGUGAGGUAAUGGCUCACCUAGGCGACGAUACAUAGCCGACCUGAGAGGGUGAUCGGCCACACUGGGACUGAGACACGGCCCAGACUCCUACGGGAGGCAGCAGUAGGGAAUCUUCGGCAAUGGGGGCAACCCUGACCGAGCAACGCCGCGUGAGUGAAGAAGGUUUUCGGAUCGUAAAGCUCUGUUGUAAGUCAAGAACGGGUGUGAGAGUGGAAAGUUCACACUGUGACAGUAGCUUACCAGAAAGGGACGGCUAACUACGUG